rnacentral:rRNA from 1 species
AUUGAACGCUGGCGGCAUGCCUUACACAUGCAAGUCGAACGGUAACAGGCCUUCGGAUGCUGACGAGUGGCGAACGGGUGAGUAAUACAUCGGAACGUGCCUAGUAGUGGGGGAUAACUACUCGAAAGAGUGGCUAAUACCGCAUGAGAUCUACGGAUGAAAGCAGGGGAACGCAAGACCUUGUGCUACUAGAUCGGCCGAUGGCAGAUUAGGUAGUUGGUAGGAUAAAAGCUUACCAAGCCGACGAUCUGUAGCUGGUCUGAGAGGACGAUCAGCCACACUGGGACUGAGACACGGCCCAGACUCCUACGGGAGGCAGCAGUGGGGAAUUUUGGACAAUGGGCGCAAGCCUGAUCCAGCAAUGCCGCGUGCAGGAUGAAGGCCUUCGGGUUGUAAACUGCUUUUGUACGGAACGAAAAGCCCCGGGUUAAUACCCUGGGGUCAUGACGGUACCGUAAGAAUAAGCACCGGCUAACUACGUGCCAGCCGCCGCCGUAA